rnacentral:misc_RNA from 1 species
AUGGGAAGGUUCCAAUUUGGAUUUGGUAUUUAGCAGGCAGGAAAUUUCGUAGGACAAAUCGCUUCCAUUCUCUCAGUCCCUCACUCUCGCAACCAUGUUCAGACACCCCGCCUACCCCCCGCUUUGAAUGAUGCUUCUCCUCUCUCCUCGCAUCGCACUCACUCUUCUCUUCCACGAGACUACCAUGGUACCGGAUUUGUCACUCUGUCUCCUCCUCCUUUUGCAACUUGCAGCCUCAAUCUUUACUCCACCUAUCCACUCUUUAUCUUUUGUCAGUUGGUUCUUCAGUCUCACUCUUUCAAUUCUCAUGUAAUGUUUAUACAGAUACAUGUUAUUGCUUGAUUUGUUAUUUGUAUAAUUUUGUAUUUGUGCGGGAUUCUUGAUUGUUGAUGAUUUAACUUAAAAUUUGAUUUAGGGUUUGUACAAUUUCUGCUUUCAAUUGAUUUUUAAUUUAG